CAGCACCACACGUGUGGGUACAUGCACAAGAAGGGAAGAGUGUUUUUACUUUUCUCACUACGCCAUUUACUCUAGUGUGCACUUCUAGAGCAUUUAUCGGGGAUGAAGAACUGAAGAACUGUCACUUCUAGAGCAAUACAAAGCACAUGAGUGGAUGAACACUUAGAAUGACAAGCAUUUCCAAAGAGAUACACAUUGCGAAUAGGCUAUAGCAAAUAAUUCAACUUAAUGUGCAAGAUGAGC